rnacentral:rRNA from 1 species
CUCGCGUCCGAUUAGCUAGUUGGAGAGGUAAAAGCUCACCAAGGCGACGAUCGGUAGCUGGUCUGAGAGGACGAUCAGCCACACUGGGACUGAGACACGGCCCAGACUCCUACGGGAGGCAGCAGUGGGGAAUUUUCCGCAAUGGGCGAAAGCCUGACGGAGCAAGACCGCGUGGGGUGAA